rfam:Ruminococcus lactaris ATCC 29176 Scfld_02_34 genomic scaffold, whole genome shotgun sequence.
GGAUGCCAGGGUCAAAAGGUCUAAACCCACAUGAGCUUGCUCAUAGGUGGGUGAAAGACCUUAGGACCCGCCCCGAUAUGAGCAUCAAAGUCGGGGGCUUUUGACCCCGACAUCU